GCAGCUUUGUAGAUAAAAAGUAAAUAAAUUCCAAAAAAAUCAUAUCAGAAUUCUCAAAAAUAGAUUUGAGAUCUAAGCAAAACUAUAAAAAACAAAAUUUUAAAACCAAAAUUCAAACACCAGAGAAAGGAAACGUGUGUCGUGAAGCUGCAGAGUCUGAAUCUUACUGCUGCAGCUCGUCUGGCAGAUGUUGGGCGUGGCGUUUCUCGCCGCUGCUGCAGAACUGAGGGCUGCUGAGCUGGAAGAGGCCGUACAUAGCCCAGACGCCGUCGUUCUCGCCGCUGCUUUGUCCCUGGUUGGAGUGGCGUCGAUUUCGGGCGUGGGGGGGGCUCUGUGCUCGCCACGGCGCCGUGCUGGCCUUUUUCAGCCGCAACUUGAGUUAUAAGACUAGUGGUGAAGUUGGAGCCCUGCUCUGCAUGGCACACGACUGAAAGCACAAAAGAGACGACAGAAAACCAUCCAGUUUAGACUCUGGAUGUGUUGCUUUAGAAUAGAAUAGAAUAGAAUAGAAUAGAAUAGAAUAGAAUAGAAUAGAAUAGACUUUAUUUUUUGUCAUUAAAUGACAAUGAAAUUUAAAAUCAAUCCCCAUUUAAUUAAUAGUUUUUUCACAAAGUAUUACAACAGUCUGUUAGUGUACAUAAGUUUUCUCAGGACUCAUCCAAAAAAUAGUCAUUUUUCAACAAACUUUGAUUCUGUUGAUAUUCUGCUGAAACAUUCUCCUUAUUUGAACUAGUUAAUGUGUGCUCUGGUGCUGACUAAGCAAAUAAAUUCUGUUUGCUUGCAAGUGAACCCUGGUGGGAUUCAGGAAAGUGUGAAUGCAGGCGGACCUUCCCAUAAAAGAGAUUUUCUUCUUGUUGUCACUUAAUAAAAUAAGAACUUUGACUGUGAAAGCUUACCCAAGCAGCCUAAAAACUUAAAGGGUAACCAAACAGGGCUGACUCCGCCCACAGUCGAAAUGUAAAAAUUGGGCUGUUAUCAUUACUGGAGCUGCAGAUCACGAUGUCUCGAUUUAUUUAAGCAGUUUAAAAGCUUAAAACAUGGAGACAAACGAUGUUGACUGAAGAAAUGAAAAGAUGUCCCUCUCUCUCUCUCUCUCUCGACUCUUUCAUCUGAUUUUUUUAGAAAAUCUUCUCAAAAACGUUUCGCAGAAUUUAAUCUUAAAACAAAAAUCUCUGCAUCUUACAUGAGGACUUUACGUUCUAUUUGAGUCUCAGAGAGACAUUCUGGUGAACAUGGUGUUCUUGGUGUUUUUACCAUGUUCUUGUGCAAUUUCUGAUAAUGGAGGACACGUAUGAAGAAAAAUAACAUAAAUUGCAAUCCUGAGGAUUUCUGUAUUUAAAUGUAUUGUAAUGCAUCAGGAAUAGAUUUCAAAAAUGCUGUUUGAAAAAGACCCAAUUGGGAAAUACAGUGAGCUCCCUGCUCCGAGCAACAGGGGAGGGGAAGGGGGAGCGGGGUUGCUCCGGCUCAACAACUCAGAGGUGAAUUUCUAAUGAACUCCUGCUGCUCUGAAGAAACUACGUCCUAUAAAACUGCACAAUACAAACUAGAAAAGUGCGAGAUUAAGUACUGUUGUGGUGAUAACUGAGAGGAACAGCCGGUGGUGAUUAAUGUUCAGGAGAUGGCUCCCUCUGGUGGUCGGAGAGGGAAGUGCGUGUAGCUUUAUCUCUUUCUCUGCACACACUUCAUUUUCCAGUGGAUAUUCAAUCUGAAUUUAGAGUGUAGCACGAUAAAAUCACAGAUUCUGAUCCAGAUUAAACCACCCUGAGUUAAAAUGCUUCCCCGACAGAAUUUAAAAAAAAAAAAAAAACGUUAAACGUGAGAGAGCUCACAUUCUCAAACAAUUCCCCAUAAGGAGUUUUAUUUCCUCCUGUCUUUCUGUCAUCAUCUCUUCUUUCUGCCUCACUGCUUGUGCUGACAGCUUGUCUGCCAUCAUCUCUCUUUAAAUCCUGUUUGGUUGAGUUCUUUCACAGAUCUGCUUCCUGCUGUCGCCAUUGUUUUUCUCUCACUUCUGUUGCCACCGGCUGAAUCCCUCCUGCUCAGGUCUGCGACCGUCAGCUUGACUUUAACGUUUAAAUCAUUUCCUUUUGCCUUCUCAGCCUUCUCUUUUUUGACAUUUUUCUGAAACAAUUAAAAAUUUUUAAAUGUGUCUUAUACUUUUUAUUGAAGGAACAUUCUUGAGUUGUUUAAAACUCAUUUUACUGUUAAAGUAUUCAACCUCUGCUCUGUAAUGUGGAAGUCUUAUGACUUUUGUCCAUUAAUUAUUGGAACGAAUGUUAUUUUUCUGUUUUAUAGUUUUUAUGUUAUAAUUUUUCUACAUUUUUUAUUCUACAUAGAAGAUUUUGUGUUCAUUUUUUUGUUAUAUAAUAUUUUAUUUAAGUUUAUAUAUAUAUAUAUAUGUAUGUAAAUAUUUGUGUCUGUAACA
rnacentral:lncRNA from 1 species